rnacentral:lncRNA from 1 species
UCGGAGGUCAGUUAUGCCUCGAAUGUGGAUCCAGCGGUGCUUGAGAAGAGGCGCCCAAAUAAGCUGCUCCCCCUUCGGGAGCUGCAGCCCCCAAUCGAAGCAGCAGCAGCUCCGUUCCGAGCUGCAACCGGGCUCCUCUCCGAGCCGCAGUCCGCAAUCGAAGCGCUUCCCGUUUCAAAUCGCAAUCCGCAAUCAAAGGAGUCCUUCCCGGGCUACAAUCAGAGGCAAGUCCGCUUCCGGAUUCCUCCUCGUAUUUGUGUACAUAGAAUCUUCGAUAUUUAGACGAGAGUUUCCAUAGCAGCUAUACACGGAUACGGAGUAGCAUACUACAGUAUAUAUCUGGGCUGGCGGCACCGCGGUACCCUCCAGGUUUAAGAGGAGACGAGCAACAACUCCCUAGACAACAGUUUUGAGGCAGACCAGCAAGUCGGGCUAUGGGGAUCAGAUCUCGUCGCCGGCGGCCGGCUGCUAGAUCGGUGGCCGAACCCGCCGAACCCAUGGAGGUGAGCCUCUUGUCCUCUCCUUCCUCGGAAUAUCUUAUCUUCCUGAUAGCAUCAAAAUUCAAUCUUUCGAGUCUUAUCAAAUUUUUAGUUUUUGGUACAGAAAUGCGUCUUUGAGCCUAUAGAGAUAUACUCCCUCCGUUCCUAAUAUAAGUCUUUCUAGAGAUUUUACUAGUAGACUACAUACGGAUGUAUAUAGACAUAUUUUAGAGUGUAGAUUCACUCAUUUUGCUUCGUAUGUAGACUCUUAGUGAAAUCUCUUAAAAGACUUAUAUUUAGGAACGGAGGGAGUACUUGCUUUUUGGAAAGAAAAAAAUUAAUCAAAUUUGUGUCAUCAUAAAUUAGAUCAAAGCCGCAUCUCCGCCACAGUAGACAAAUUCUAUAUAUGGGGCUAUCAAACUUGCACUUUUGAGACUAUCAAUACUGAUUUCUUUCGGUUCCAAAUGCAGAAAGACAAUCAAGAUGAUNN